UACGUAGGGUGCGAGCGUUGUCCGGAAUUACUGGGCGUAAAGAGCUCGUAGGUGGUUUGUCGCGUUGUUCGUGAAAACUCACAGCUCAACUGUGGGCGUGCGGGCGAUACGGGCAGACUGGAGUACUGCAGGGGAGACUGGAAUUCCUGGUGUAGCGGUGGAAUGCGCAGAUAUCAGGAGGAACACCGGUGGCGAAGGCGGCCAUCUGGACGGAUACUGACGCUGAGACGCGAAAGCGUGGGGAGCAAACAGG
rnacentral:rRNA from 1 species